AACGUAGGUGGCGAGCGUUAUCCGGAUUUACUGGGCGUAAAGGGUGUGCAGGCGGACUGUUAAGUGGUGCAUGAAAUCUCCGCGCUUAACGUGGAGAGGCUGUGCCAGACUGGCAGUCUGGAGUACGUGAGAGGGUUGUGGAAUUCCGGGUGUAGUGGUGAAAUGCGUAGAGAUCCGGAGGAACACCAGAAGGCGAAGGCGGCAACCUGGCACGUUUACUGACGCUCAUACACGACAGCAUGGGGGAGCCGAACGGGG
rnacentral:rRNA from 1 species